CCUACGGGGGGCAGCAGUGGGGAAUAUUGGACAAUGGGGGGAACCCUGAUCCAGCCAUGCCGCGUGUGUGAAGAAGGCCCUCGGGUUGUAAAGCACUUUCAGUGAGGAAGAACGCCUGGUGGUUAAUACCCAUCAGGAAAGACAUCACUCACAGAAGAAGCACCGGCUAACUCCGUGCCAGCAGCCGCGGUAAUACGGAGGGUGCGAGCGUUAAUCGGAAUUACUGGGCGUAAAGCGCGCGUAGGUGGCUUGAUAAGCCGGUUGUGAAAGCCCCGGGCUCAACCUGGGAACGGCAUCCGGAACUGUCAAGCUAGAGUGCAGGAGAGGAAGGUAGAAUUCCCGGUGUAGCGGUGAAAUGCGUAGAGAUCGGGAGGAAUACCGGUGGCGAAGGCGGCCUUCUGGACUGACACUGACACUGAGGUGCGAAAGCGUGGGUAGCAAACAGGAUUAGAUACCCCAGUAGUC
rnacentral:rRNA from 1 species